rnacentral:rRNA from 1 species
GACGAACGCUGGCGGCGUGCCUAAUACAUGCAAGUUGAGCGCUGAAGGUUGGUACUUGUACCAACUGGAUGAGCAGCGAACGGGUGAGUAACGCGUGGGGAAUCUGCCUUUGAGCGGGGGACAACAUUUGGAAACGAAUGCUAAUACCGCAUAAAAACUUUAAACACAAGUUUGAAGUUUGAAAGAUGCAAUUGCAUCACUCAAAGAUGAUCCCGCGUUGUAUUAGCUAGGUGGUGAGGUAAAGGCUCACCAAGGCGAUGAUACAUAGCCGAACUGAGAGGGUGAUCGGCCACAUUGGGACGGAGACACGGCCCAAACGCCCACGGGAGGCAGCAGUAGGGAAUCUUCGGCAAUGGACGAAAGUCUGACCGAGCAACGCCGCGUGAGUGAAGAAGGUUUUCGGAUCGUAAAACUCGGUUGGUAGAGAAGAACGUUGGUGAGAGUGGAAAGCUCAUCAAGUGACGGUAACUACCCAGAAAGGGACGGCUAACUACGUG